CACAUGCAAGUCGAGCGGCAGCGGAAAGUAGCUUGCUACUUUGCCGGCGAGCGGCGGACGGGUGAGUAAUGUCUGGGAAACUGCCUGAUGGAGGGGGAUAACUACUGGAAACGGUAGCUAAUACCGCAUGACCUCGCAAGAGCAAAGUGGGGGACCUUCGGGCCUCACGCCAUCGGAUGUGCCCAGAUGGGAUUAGCUAGUAGGUGAGGUAAUGGCUCACCUAGGCGACGAUCCCUAGCUGGUCUGAGAGGAUGACCAGCCACACUGGAACUGAGACACGGUCCAGACUCCUACGGGAGGCAGCAGUGGGGAAUAUUGCACAAUGGGCGCAAGCCUGAUGCAGCCAUGCCGCGUGUGUGAAGAAGGCCUUCGGGUUGUAAAGCACUUUCAGCGAGGAGGAAGGCAGUCGUGUUAAUAGCACGAUUGAUKGACGUUACU
rnacentral:rRNA from 1 species